UACGGAGGAUGCGAGCGUUAUCCGGAUUUAUUGGGUUUAAAGGGUGCGUAGGCGGAUCAAUAAGUCAGUGGUGAAACCCUGCAGCUUAACUGUAGACUUGCCGUUGAUACUGUUGGUCUUGAGUGUGGUCAAGGUAGGCGGAAUGUGUAAUGUAGCGGUGAAAUGCUUAGAUAUUACACAGAACACCGAUUGCGAAGGCAGCUUGCUGGACCAUUACUGACGCUGAGGCACGAAAGCGUGGGGAUCGAAC
rnacentral:rRNA from 1 species